rnacentral:tRNA from 1 species
UAGCUCAGUUGGUAGAGCAUGGCGCUUGCAACGCCAGGGUUGUGGGUUCGUUUCCCAC